GGGGGGGGGGGGGUGAUCUUUAUUAAGUGUCUUGAGUUCCGAGUUUUAAUCUUUAGGGAACUUUUUAGGCGCACUCACUAUUUUUACUGAUACUGUCUCUAAUUCAUUUUAUUUAACUUGUCCUGUUAAUGUACAUAGACCAACCAUCUAUAUGAUUUAAUGCUUCAUAAUGUUUUGUUAAAAAAAAUUAUUUUAUGAAUACAUAUACAAGAAAAGAUGUCUCAACUAAUGCCACAGCUACAAGAGUAAUAAAACUCAUGUUAAAACAUGGUGGACGUCUAAUUGUUGCAUGGACUAAUUGUUGCAUGGACUUUAAAAGAAGCAUAGACGUCUUUUUUUGGCAUGUAUGUCUUGUUGAUAUCAUAGUUAUCAUUGUUAGUGAUUAAUAAUAUGACUACUUAUGACUCUAUAAUUAUGUAUAUUAUAUCUAGUUUAUCAAGUUAGGAAAGAUAUUUCAUAUUCCAAUUUUAUAUUUCAUUGCUUCACGCUCUUUUUAACAAAUAAUUGUUUAUUUCAAUAUUAUUAUAACUGUAAUGUAUUUAAUUAUCAUAACUUUAUUAACGUCUAAAUUAUAGCACAAUAAAACAAUAGA